GACAUGGCUACUUCUUACUGCUCUGGGCUGCUCUCAGUUAGGGAUCAGUACAAAUGUUCAGUUUGUCAAAAUGAGGAAGAAAAAGGCUGCUCUCAAGCUCUGACUGCAGGAGCUUCCAGCAGUAACUCUGACCCCUAUCAGUCAUGAAGUGUAACUUCAUUUCCUAAGAAAUGUAGGAAAUGUGAAACCUCAGAGCGCCACAGACUCCCCUACCUUCAUUUUCCUCGAAGAUGUCAGCUAAAGAGCACUGAGGUGGAUAUCAGACACCGGCAUGGAAGCACACUCCCACAAUCUCAGUGCUCAGGGCCGGAAGAUUACAACCUGAAGGCUAGCCAGGAUUACAGAGUAAAACCAUCACUAAAUCUAAAAGACACAUCUCAGAAGUAAGUAUCGACCAGUGCUCUCUACCUCAUUUCCUCAGAGACCAACCGUUGUAAGAACAGAACAGAACAGAACGCGCUCAGGAGCAGAGCUGCUAAGGGGCCUCACAGGAGGUGCCUGACAAAAGGCGCAUCCCCUCUACAAAGUCCUCCUUUCAUUUGUGAACAAAGAAUUUAGCCUAACUGGCAUCUCAUUUACUAGGUGCCUAAAACAAGCCAAUAA
rnacentral:lncRNA from 1 species